rnacentral:lncRNA from 1 species
AAUGAUUUAUGUCAAAGUAUUCUGCCUGUGUUUUCCUCUAGGAGUUUUAUGGUUUCUGGUUUUGCAUUUAGGUCUUUAAUCCAUUUUGAGUUUAUUUUUGCAGAUGAUGUUAGAGAAUUUCUAAUUACAUUCUUUUACAUGUAGCCAUUCAGUUUUCACAGCACCAUUUAUUGAAGAGACUGUCUUUUCUCCAUUGCAUAUUCUUGCCUCCUUGGUCAUAGAUUAAUUGACCACACACACAUGGGCUUACUUUNGAUUACUUAUCUUGGUUCUUUUCUUUGAAGCUGUUGGUUUUCCUCAAGGCUCUCUUGGUUGUCCAUUUGUAUUGAUGGAUGAAAGCCAAACUGAUUGACCUGUUUGUGUGUGCAUGGGGGAGUGUAUGGGGGAACCCGUGCACUUGUGUAGCCCUUUCCACCCCAAACUCCCCUUCCAGAACAGAAAUACCAAGUCCAUGGACAGGGGAGUUCAGCUGGUAGGCUCAAUUUGGGGGUGCACAGGCAGGAAACCAGUGUCUGUUCCCUUCCACCUACACAAAGACCAGAUAAGGAGGACUUUCCUCUGGGGUGGGGCACCAACAGCUACACCGGGACAUAACUCCCCCCAACUCUCCACUCAUUAUGCCCUUUCUUAGAGGACAGUUAUCCUGAUUUAGCAGGAAAAAUACUCGGAGUUGACACUGUGAGGGAACUGCCCAGUGAGGCUGCAAUUCUUCAGAGGUCUUUGUAGAACCAGCCUAAUCUCAGCCCCUCUUUCCACAGGUGUGGUUUGUGCCUAUGAAAUCUGAGCUUAAAGGUCUUUGGGAGCCAGGACAAGGACUCUGUUUCCAGGUCGUUUUCUCUUAUGCAUCUUCUGGGUUGUGGCUUACUCUGCUGUAGGUAAUGCAACAAUGCCAUCGCAUCCACUCCCCACCUUCCAGAAGUGUUAUCAAAAUCAGAUCUGCUGACAUGCCCUGGUGGCGCAGUGGUGAAGGUUCUGUCAUUGUCCCUGCUGUGGCUUGGGUUGCUGCUGUGGAGCGGGUUUGAUCCCUUGCUUGGGAACUUCCAUGUGCUGUGGAACCUGCCCCCCCACCCCCUGCCAAAAAAAUCUAAUCUGCUCCUGGCUCUCCCUGCUGUUUGCAGCUCUCCUGUGGAAUUAUCCCAUUUUCUACUCCCUUUUACAGUAGCCCCAGUGGAAUUUUGUGGGAAGGAGGGCAAAACCUAGAAAACCUGAAGCUGGAAGGUAUAUUUGUCCACUGGAUGAAAUACACAAGGUAGGUUUACCUUUGGCAAAAACCGAACCCCAAAUAUUUAUACAGUUAGACAAUAUGGAUAAUCGUAACUUCAUCUAAAAUGAAUUGCUUAGAUUUUUCCAUUGCUUGGGUAGAAGGAAUAGCAUGUCUGAAAAUAUAUUGGCUAGUUUAGAAAGGUCUCCAAGACAGAAUUUUAACCUGGCUUUCACUUCUCCAAAGAGGAUGUUAUUUUUCAUUUUCUUGGGGGGGGGUGUGUUUGUUUGUUUUUUUUUUUAAGGGCCCGCACCUGCGGCAUAUGGACAUUCCCAGGCUAGGGGUAGAAUCGGAGCUGCAGCUGCCGGCCUAGGCCUCAGCCAUAGCAACGCUGGAUCCCCAACCCACUAAUCGAGGCCAGGGAUUGAAUCUGCACUAGUUGGAAUCAUUUCUGCUCCCCCACCACGGGAACUCCUGAAAGAAUAUUAUUAAUCCACUAGGCAGAACUGGUUUCCCCUUCCUUCCUGUGUAUUGAUAUUACUGAUCAUUUUAUCAGCCUAGAAAGCUACAAGUGAGAUCGACAGCCUAAGCAGCACUGAGCAAAAGUCGCUUUUGAGGUGGUGAAGGGGUUAAUCCCUUGACCUUCUGAGUUGAAGAAAACUCAAGGGGCUGAACAAGGAUGCACAGAAAAUAAGAUGUGAGUCAUUGGUUCCAGGAACUUAAUGUUCUCGAUGAAGAACCAUCCGGAGCAGCCAGCUCUAAUGAAGCAUCUUUGAAUUAAUUGGAUACCUUCGUAACUCCAAAGGAGAAAUUAAAUAAAUGAAUUGUGUGAAGCCAAUUGAUUUGUAGUUCCCAUUUCUCUGGAAAGACUCAGCUCCAGAUUUAUUACUGCUUUUCUGAAGCCACUUGAUUUAGUGGUGAUGCUUUUGGGGCUUAGAUAACUGCUGUGAUGAUUGAGGCCUUGGAAGGUGUACAGAUCUGUUUUCCACAAUAGUUAUUUAUGUCUCCAGCCCCCAAGGCAGAAAUAUGUUGCCAAGAACGUUACUUAAAAUAAGAAACCAAAGGCAUUUUUCCCCCUGUAAAGUGGCACUUAAAGAGCAGCCACAAACUGCAACUGCUCAGCUUGCACUUUUGUGACAUUUUGGACCAGUGUCAUGAAAAGCGGUUCCUGGUACAGAUACAGGGACAGGCCCAGCUAGGGAACUUGGUUUUGAAAAUGCCAAAACAUUUACAUAUUCACUAGUUUGCAUUGCGUAAGAGUGUUAAAUGAAUGUGGUGUGACCUCUGUUUCCCACACUUUGAGGAAUUAAAAAACACCACUGUGUCAUUUUGAUUGGAUCAUGGGCUUCUUAUAGCUGGUUAUGUCUAGGUGUGUCUUUGAGGGUGUUUCCAGAAGAGAUUUCCCCUUUGAUGGGCUGAGCAAGCCAAAGUGCCUUCCCCAGUGGGGCCAGCAUCUGGUCUGUGGAGGCCCUGAACAGGGUAAAAUAGUGAGGGAAGGUUAAUUUAUUUUUUUAAUCCCCUCCAGCCACACCUGAAGCAUAUGGAAAUUCCCAGGCUAGGGGUCAAAUCAGAGCAGCUCCUGCUGGCCUUUACCAUAGCCACAGCCACACUGGAUCCGAGCUGCAUUUGUGACCUACAGCUCAUGGCAAUGCCAGAUCCUUAACCCACUGAGCGAGGCCAGGGAUGGAACCUGCAACCUCAUGGUUCCUAAUUGGAUUCAUUUCUGCUGUGCCAUGACGGGAAUUCCCAUUCUGUAUGUGAUAGUUUGCACCUGCUAACCCCAAACUACAUGGGAGCUAAUACCACAUAAUCAGUCAAUCAACAACCCUAUUGAUUGUGUUUCUCCGGAGAAACCCGGACGCAUACACCACCUAACUGUGGUUUCUAACACUACAGUUACAGAGCACUAACUCUCUGGUCAGUCCGCACACAUUUUACUUUGGAAUGAUGCUGAGGAGUGGUUGUCCAGACAGAUGAUUUACCAGCUCUCACUUCUGCCCAUUUCAGAAGCAGGCUGGUGAAGCAUGGUGGACAAGAAGGCGUGUCCCCUGAAGGAUGUGGUCACCCUCGGGUCAGAAGAAUGGGUGGGGCUGUGGAGGCCCGUGAGGGUGGUAAGAAUGUGACAAUGAUCUCCACCGUAAAACCAGAGGCCAGAACAAGGCUGUGGGUUUAAUUUGAUAGGGGAAUCACCUCUGGUGUGCAGCCAGCUUUGGAGAGAAGGGUGAAUGCUCACAGGUAACUGGGCAAAGUCUGCCUCCAGCUCAGAAGAGGGCUUGGGAGGGGGAGGGGGAGGGGAGCGGGACUGCCUCCCCCUCCCCACCCCAACACUUGGCUGUGAUUCUCCUAGAUUGUGAGAUUGUAUCUCAGACCCUAUCAGAAGUGACUCAAGUCCGUAAAACACAGGGGGUCAUGGGCCUUCUCUAGUCUUGUGCCUUCAUGGCCACUAACCACUGCCCUGCAGAGGUGCGCAGAGAGCCAGCCCUACCUGGAAGUAUUCCUGAAGUAUCUCCAAUGCCAGAGAGCUGCCUGCAGGGGACUGCCCUGGGGGGGCUGUCUGGAGGUUGGGGGGCCAUUCUCCUCCUGGGGGGCCUCUGCAGGCACCUUACCAGUGAGCAAGGAACCCAGCAUGAAAAACAGCAGGCACAGACAUUGCUCUG